rnacentral:rRNA from 1 species
GCCAGCAGCCAUAUCACCCUGCAGCUCUCAACUGAAGCUCAGCAGGUAUGAGCCUGGUCAGUACCUGGUUGGGAGACCUCCUGGGAAAAAUUAUGGUUACUGCUGGAA